rnacentral:rRNA from 1 species
AGUGGCGCACGGGUGAGUAACGCGUGGGUAAUCUGCCCCGGUCUGGGGGAUAACGCACCGAAAGGUGCGCUAAUACCGCAUAAUCCGGCCUUAGGCAAAGGUGCGAACCGGGAUGAGCCCGCGUCCUAUUAGCUAGUUGGUGGGGUAAUGGCCUACCAAGGCGACGAUGGGUAGCUGGUCUGAGAGGACGGCCAGCCACACUGGAACUGACACACGGUCCAGACUCCUACGGGAGGCAGCAGUGAGGAAUAUUGCGCAAUGGGGGAAACCCUGACGCAGCGAUGCCGCGUGGGUGAAGAAGGCCUUCGGGUCGUAAAGCCCUGUCAGGCGGGAAGAAUGACGGUACCGCUGAAGGAAGCACCGGCUAACUCCGUGCCAGCAGCCGCGGUAAGACGGAGGGUGCGAGCGUUAUUCGGAUUUAUUGGGCGUAAAGAGCGUGUAGGCGGUCGGUUAAGUCUGAUGUGAAAGCCCGGGGCUUUAACUCGGAAGGGCGUUGGAAAC